UUAAAAAGCUCGUAGUUGAAUUUCGGGGUUAGUAGGUUGGUCAUGCCUCUGGUAUGUACUGGUCUCACUGAUUCCUCCUUCCUGAUGAACCGUAAUGCCAUUAAUUUGGUGUUGCGGGGAAUUUGGACUGUUACCUUGAAAAAAUUAGAGUGUUUAAAGCAAGCUAACGCUCGAAUACAUUAGCAUGGAAUAAUGAAAUAGGACGUUCGACCCUAUUUUGUUGGUUUCUAGGAUUGACGUAAUGAUUAAUAGGGAUAGUUGGGGG
rnacentral:rRNA from 1 species